rnacentral:misc_RNA from 1 species
GAUGAAGAACGUAGCGAAAUGCGAUAAGCAAUGUGAAUUGCAGAAUUCAGUGAAUCAUCGAAUCUUUGAACGCACAUUGCGCCCGCCAGUAUUCUGGCGGGCAUGCCUGUUCGAGCGUCAUUUCAACCAUCAAGCCCCAGGCUUGUGUUGGGGACCUGCGGCUGCCGCAGGCCCUGAAAACCAGUGGCGGGCUCGCUGUCACACCGGGCGUAGUAGAUUUUAUCUCGCUCUGGGCGUGCUGCGGGUUCCGGCCGUUAAAAAACCCUUUUAACCCAAGGUUGACCUCGGAUCAGGUAGGAAUACCCGCUGAACUUAAGCAUAUCAAUAAGCGGAGGA